AAGAACAAUAACAAUCAGGGCCAAACUU
rnacentral:piRNA from 1 species